AAUCAACCUGCACCUCACAGCCCUGUGUCUGGAGUGGAGCGGUCUCUGAAGAUGGUGCUGGUGGUGCAGGCGCCAGGCGGGCCAUAAGUUGGAGGCUGGGAGUCUGGUUAGAAGAUGUUUCAACAGCACCACCUUGUGUUGAAGUUCAGGGUCAACUCUCAGCUGGGUCAGGGCCCGUCAUGUUCUUCCUAUGUCUGCUUGGGCUUCCUCUGGGUAUUCCGGAUUCCUCCCACAGAACAAAGACAUACAGG